UACGUAGGUGGCAAGCGUUGUCCGGAUUUACUGGGUGUAAAGGGCGAGUAGGCGGGACGGAAAGUCAGGUGUGAAAGCUAUGGGCUCAACCCAUAGACUGCACUUGAAACUUCUGUUCUUGAGUGAUGGAGAGGCAGGCGGAAUUCCCGGUGUAACGGUUGAAUGUGUAGAUAUCGGGGGGAACACCAGUGGCGAAGGCGGCCUGCUGGACAUUAACUGACGCUGAGGAGCGAAAGCGUGGGGAGCAAACAGG
rnacentral:rRNA from 1 species